rnacentral:rRNA from 1 species
AUUGAACGCUGGCGGCAGGCCUAACACAUGCAAGUCGAACGAGUGGCGGACGGGUGAGUAAUGUCUGGGAAACUGCCCGAUGGAGGGGGAUAAAUACUGGAAAAGGUAGCUAAUACCGCCUACCAUCGGAUGUGCCCAGAUGGGAUUAGCUAGUAGGUGGGGUAACGGCUCACCUGGGCGACGAUCCCUAGCGGGUCUGAGAGGAUGACCAGCACCACGGGAACUGAGACACGGCCAAGACUCCGACGGGAGGCAGCAGUGGGGAAUAUUGCAAAAUGGGCGCAAGCCUGAUGCAGCAAUGCGGCGUGUAUGAAGAGGGCUUUCGGGUGGGAAAGUACUUUCAUCGAGGAGGCGUUACUCGCAGAAGAAGCACCGGCUAACUCCGUGCCAGCCGCCGCGGUAAUAC